UAAAAGUUUGAUUCUUUCUUUUGUUUCCAUAAGGCUAUUAAAUUUGUAUGAGAAUUGAGGUAUGUAUUUAAAACUCAUUUAAGAUGGGUUUAAAUAAAAUAAAAAUAUAUUGUUUUUAUAAAUAAAGAUGUUUAUUUAUUAGAGAAGUUUAUUUUAAAAUCUCAGCAUAAAAUAUUAAAAAUUAUGUAUUAAAAUAUGAUUUAGUAAUAGUUUUGAAAUCUGACAAAAUAUUGUGCCAGCAGUCGCGGUUAAACUUUAAGAUUAAGUGGAAAUAUAUUGGAUUUAGUUAGGUGAGAAAAUUUAAAGUAAUAAAUUUUAAAUUUCAAAAAACAAAAAGGUGAAAUUGAAUUUGUUUUAUUGAAGGGAUGGAUAAGUAUACUUUUGCUGAAGCUAAUAAAAUUUAGGUUUAAACUAGGAUUAGAUACCCUAUUAUUCUAAAUAUAAAAAGUGUUGCCAUAAUAUUAAUAGCUAUAGACUUUAAAUUUGAAGAAUUUGGCGGUGGUUUAAUCUUAUCAGAGGAACCUGCUUUUUAAUCGAUAAUCCCCGAAAAAUCUUACUCGUUUUGGUCAUAGUUUGUAUACCAUCAUUAACAGAUAAUUUUUAAAAAAUAAAUUAUUAUAAUUAUAAUUUCUAAAUUAUAAUAAAAUUAGAUCAAGGUGCAGCUAAUAAAUGAGUUAAAGUGGGUUACAAUAAAUUUUAUUUAUAACGGAAGAACAGCAGUAAAAGUUGUUUGAAGGAGGAUUUGAUUGUAAUUGGAGAGUUUAAUAUGCUUAAGAGAUAUAAGUUCUAAAUCAUGUACAUAUCGCCCGUCGCUUUCAUUUAUAAAUGAGAUAAGUCGUAACAUAGUAGGUUUACUGGAAAGUGAAUCUA
rnacentral:ncRNA from 1 species